CCUGUCUCUUCCGUCUAUGUGUGAUUAUGAAAACCUGGUAUUGAAUGGAGCUUUGUGACUCACAUUGUAAAGCCAAGAAUCCUAGGAGUGACUGAUUUUGGAAAGGAAUUAUUUCACUAUGUGUUUAUGUUUCUUCUUAAAAAAAUGCUGAAAUAUAGUCACUACUUUAGUGUAUUGGAAAAAUAAAAGGGUAAUAGUAGGAGAAUAAUCUUACACUUGGACAAUGUUAAUACACAAAGAUGUAUACUUGCUGGAAUUGGGCAGAAUUUUUAUUUAAGCUUUCUGUUGGGAAAUGUAAAGAGGGAAGCUUGCUGAGGUGCAAGAUUUUCAAGGUCCAUAAACUUAAUAUUAUCCAUAUUAUUGCUCCUACAUUACCUAAGCAUUAUUGAAUGCAGUGCCUUAAAUAUAGAAGCUGCUCAAUAACUAUUUGCUGAAUUAUUUAGUUUGCUUUGGCCAUGAACAAAACAAUGGUGUGAAAAUUCUUUUGUAAAACUACAAAUCACUACUCAGAUAUAUAGCCAAAUAUGCCGAUUCUGUGUUUUACCUUUCCAGAAGUUUCUUUUGCCACCUUCUGUGCUUGGCAACCUUAAGAUCACAUACAUGGAUGCACGCACACAUGCAUGAAUAGUAUGAAAUCAAUCUGGGAUGGGUAAACAUAACAAAUCAAACUUUAAAUUUGGCCUCCAAUGCUAAUUGCUAAUAGUUACUACAUACCAGGUACUUUUUAAUAUAUUUUUUUAGGUAUGUUACAACUAUUAAUCUUAAAAUAAUUAUGUGAUACAAAUGCUGUAUGUUAAUAUGUGAAAACUAAGAAACAGACAAUAGAACCUUACCACAACCAUACAGCUAAUACCAUGUCUUCACUUUAAACUUUGGUAUAAAAAUCUCCACCUUUUUUAACAGUGCCCCCAAAUAGCCUCCAACAUUGUUAACUGUGGGAGAGUUCUUGUACUUGUUUGGUAUACUCCGUAAACAUGAUGUUUUCAAUUUGUGAUCCGCUUUCAAGGAUCAGACCCAAAGUCAUAGAUACCUCACAGGAGAAAAAAAUUUCUAUUUUCCUAGCUUAUAGAGUCUCUUAUUCUUUCUCCUCUCCAUUAAACUUUGAAAGAUGUUGCAAGUAUCAGAUAACUUUUCAUGUAUACAUAUCAACCCCCUAGCCUAACUGCUUAAAACAGCAACUUCAUAUUAGCUCUUGGUUUUGUGGUUUACCAAAUCAAGCUGGGCUCAGCUAGAUGGUCUUCUGGUCUUGGCUUGGUUUACUCAUGGAUCUGUGACUCUGUUUUGGCUAGCUGUUGGCUGGGGUGAUAGGGGCAAUUGGGCUAUACGCCUCUCAUCAUCUGGCAGACUGGCCAAUUCAUUAAUGGUGACUAUGCUACUUUCCAGGACGGAGCUGAUGGUACCCACUCAGAACUGUCACAAUGCCAUUUCUGUCCCACUGUAUCUGUCAAAACAAGAUACAAGGACAAUGCAGAUUCAAGGUGGUAGGAAAUAAACUGUGCCUCUUGAUGAAAGGAGUUACAUGGUUAUACUUUGAUGUAUUCCUAUACACCAGUAAAAGAAUAAUGAUAGCCAGAAUCAUCAUCGAUCUACCUGGCCCACAAAAUGUCAAAUAAUUUCCUUGAAGCUGAGUGCACCAUUUUGUACACAGUGCCUGGCCAAUAGGAAAGGUUUGAUGUAGGCUUCGAAUCCCUGAGUUCUUAUUUUCAAUUGUAGAGUUACCUUUUAUUCUUGGAUAGAAUGAUUUAAAAAGAGAAUCUGCAUUAUGACUCAUUUCCUGGCCUAAUUAACAAUUACUUAGUGUCUUAAAUCCAUUUUAAUCUAUUCCUGGGAAUUAAUAGAAUGAUUUAUCAAAAGGCACGCAUUUCAAAGAUGAGAACCCAGCAAUGCAAGAUGCACUUGAAAUUAAUUUUAUUUUAAAGAGGUACAGAUUUGCUUGGAGGACUACCUAACAAUACAUAUCAAUGGGUAGAGUAGAGUGCAUAUACCCUUUUAUCACUUCUACUUCUAGUACUUAAUCCCUAGUUAAUAAAAAAUACCUUUAUGGGAUGUUCGUGUAUCAUCAUUUAUAAUAUGCUUCCCUAUAGUUUGUGCUCUCGGAAUCUUCGAAAUCCAUAAAUAGAUGGAAUUUCACAUGCUAUAUAUUUUUUUCAAAGGGGAAAUAAUACAUUUACAGACGCAGAUGUGGCAGAGAAAAUACCACUAGACUUGAAACCAGAAAACUUGAAUUUUAUUUUCAGAUAUGUUAUUUUACUAUUUUUUGACUUUACAUACUUAUUUAUGAAUUCCUUGGUGGCUCAGAGGGUUAGAGGUCCAGCAUUGUCACUGCUGUGGCCCAAGUUUGAGCCAUGGGAACUUCCAUGGCUAUGGGUAUGGCCAAAAAAACCUUAUUUAGUGGAUAUGAACCCCAGUUUUUCAUUGAUACAGACAUGUCACUCAGCCAUGUAAUAAUAAUAAUAAUGAUAGUCAAUGGAACAGUGCAUUAAAGGUAUCUAAUACUGAGAACUCAGUAUAUUACAUCUAAAAGGUAAUUAAAAUUUGCCAUAUAUUACUUUUAACAUUAAUAUUUCAAUAUCACUUUAAAUUUAUAAUGAUUAAAAUGCAUAUUUUUCAAUUAAAACCCAUAUAAAAUCUUAAAAUAAAAUACACCAUACUUGAAAACCCUUCAGUCUAAUUCAGGAUAAUCUUCAAACAACAAUGUAUUAUUUCCCUAGAGAAUGAUAGUGUUGAACUCUUAAAGAUUUGCUCUUGUAAGUUCCCUCAUAUUAAAAUUCCUUUGAAUAGUUUUUAUGUGAUUCUAUUACAUCAUUUCCUGUCACUUUCAAAUUUCUCGGUGUCUUCUAGUGUGCCUAUAGGUAGUAAUCAACAUUUUAAAUUUGAUGCUGAAAUAUUUAAUAAACUAAGAAAUCAAAUGGCAACUGUUAUCAAAAUUGUGGCAAAAGCAGGGGCACAGUUCUGAGUGAACAUCCAAGAAACUCCUUUACAAAACUGUGGUAUAAUAGGAAAUAAACAUAGUGGUCUCUGCUCUAGUACCUGGCGCAAGUAUCUGAAACCGUUGUGAAUUCCUAGUCUUAAGAGUAGUAGGAACAUCUUUUGUUCUAAUAGUCUUGGAUUCCAGUUCCUGAUACAGGGCUCCUGGGACCCUGUUAAUUUCCUGGGUGAUAGGAGCAUCUUUUGUUCUAAUAAGGCAACACUGGAUAGGCUUCUGGAGGAGGCUGGAUCACAGGAAAGACCUUACCAUGAUUAAGAGCUUGGAAUUUUCAGCCCCACAACCCUCCGCUCGUUUAAAGAGGGGAGAGGAUCCAGUAAUGAAGUUAAUACUUAAUCAGAUUUUUUAUAAGAAAGCCUCCAUAAAAAUCCCAAUAGUAUGGGUUUCAGAGAGCUUCCAGGGGUAUGAACACAUCUUUAUCCUAGGAGGGUGACAUAACCCAACUCCAUGGGGACAGAACCACCUGCUCUUGAGACCCUUCUAGGCUUCACCCUAUGUACCUCUUCAUCUGGCUGGUCAUCUGCAUCCUUUUCACACUAAGUAUUUUCCCCUUGAGGUCUGUGACCCAUUCAAUCAUAUAAAUCAAACCCAAAGAGAGGGACAGGUGACAACCUGAACCUGUGAUUGGCAUCUGAAGUGGAGCGGGAGCAGUCUUGUAGAACUAAGCCCUUAACCUGUGGGGUCUCAUACUAUCUCUGCAUUGAGUCAGAACUGAGUUAAGUUGUAGGAUACCAAAUUGGGGCUGCAGAUAAUUUCUUGGUGAGAGAAAACCCCCACACAUCUUGGAUCAGAAGUAU
rnacentral:lncRNA from 1 species